rnacentral:rRNA from 1 species
UACGGAGGGUGCAAGCGUUGCUCGGAAUCAUUGGGCGUAAAGCGCACGUAGGCGGUCUGUUAUGUCGGAUGUGAAAGCCCUUGGCUCAACUGAGGAAGUGCAUCCGAAACUGGCAGGCUAGAGUACUAAAGAGGGUCGCGGAAUUCCCGGUGUAGAGGUGAAAUUCGUAGAUAUCGGGAGGAACACCGGUGGCGAAGGCGGCGACCUGGGUAGAUACUGACGCUGAGGUGCGAAAGCGUGGGGAGCAAACAGG